rnacentral:rRNA from 1 species
GUCCGCACCGUAAACGAUGAUUACUCGUUGUUGGCAAUAUGACCGUCAGCGACCAAGCGAAAGCGAUAAGUAAUCCACCUGGGGAGUACACCGGCAACGGUGAAACUCAAAGGAAUUGACGGGGGCCCGCACAAGCGGAGGAGCAUGUGGUUUAAUUCGAUGAUACGCGAGGAACCUUACCUGGGCUUGAAAGUUAGCUACCGGUCCUGAAAGGGAUCUUCCAGCAAUGGCGCGAAACUAGGUGCUGCAUGGCUGUCGU